GGUAGAGAGAUAGGAAGACAAGGC
rnacentral:snRNA from 1 species